CCACCUCAACAUGGCCUGACGAGUGGUGCCAUGUCCGUGCCCAGGAUCCGAACCAGUGAAACCCUGGGCCGCCGCAGCGGAGCGCAAACUUAACCACCCGGCCACGGGGCCGGCCCCCAAGUUUGAGGUGCUUUUGAGACAUGCGAGAAAGGCAGUCAGAUCAGUCCUUAGUUGGAGAGGACUGGAGCUCAGAGCAGAGACUGAGCCAGCAAAGACAUUGAGGAAGCAGCCGCUGGAGAGACACAGAGCCCAAGCUCCACAUGGCCCAAGAUGACUGCUUGAGCUCCAGCCAUUUUGUCUGAGUUCAGCCAGCAGGAAGCCACGGGUCUGAACUCUCCAUCCCCUGGGCCACUCUGCUCCUUGAUACUGAAGUGAAAACAGCCUGAGCAUCAGCCCGUGACACCAGGCCUUCGAAGGUUCGCUUUGCCAGGCGACUUCCAAGCAAUGCUUCCUGCUCCCCGCUCUGACCUGCCGUGUGUCACCUCGGCCACCUCCCUUCCUCUGGACCACUGCCCUACUCCCGAGAAAUGGGUCACCUCCUGCCGUCUGGUGACAUUUCCAGGCUCCAGCUCCCAGGAUGGCUUCUCUGGGCCCGGCGCCCUCCCUGAAUCCCCUAAAACGUGGCUACCACCAGCCUGACGAAAGCUGACUGCAGGUUUGGGGAGAAGAGAAGGUGGAUUUAAACUGGAGGUCGCUGCUGUGAAAGUCUGGGACUCUCCACUGGGGCCGCACCAGCUGCUUUCUUCUUAGCCCCAGCAGCCUCAGCGCAGGGACUGGCUGACCUCCCGCAAGUGUGAAUGCCCUUGACUGGGUCCCUGCUGCCCAGAGUGCAGACUUCCACAGCCCCCACCCCAGGGGCAGGAGCAGUCCUGGCCCCCCCGUCCAAAGCCUGCUUCAGCUCCUGGUCCUGCACAUUGACGGUGGGAUAUUCGUUCUCUCGGGGGGAAACCCCCACCCUCAUCAUGGGGCCUGGUCAGGCUGGACCACCACAGCAGAUGGCUGCCUAGCCCAAGUCAGGCUGGCGGCACCACCCACAGCCCCACAGCCCCAUCCAGUGGCUCUUGUUCAGCCUGGACAGCCUCUUUCCAGCGGUUCCACUGAGGUCAGACCUGCCUCCAUUAUCCUCCUGUUUGCAGAUGGCAGGAUCAAUGCCCCCCCCAUAUACACACACCCACACAUGCGCACACACAUACAUACGUGCACACACGCAUGCACAUACACACAUACAUGCACACACAUUCACACACACAUACACACACUGAUUUUUCUGCAUGGAGUGGUUCAAAAUCCAGAUUAGAAAAAAAAAUGUUCUUUAACUAGCAGACCUACUUUAUAUAAAUGAAUAAAGUACCUAACAUCCUAGUCUAACACAGCUGGCUUUGGGCUUCCCCGAGAACAGCAGGGGUCUCUUACUUGGCAGCUGCCUGACCAAGAUGGCCCAUGGAGGUGAUCUUUCCAGAACAAUCUAGAACAAAGGGAGCGUCUUCUCUGCAAACGGAUUCCCUCUCCUGCCCUAGAAUGUAGAAGCUGUUUCUAACCUUUAACACAGCAGUUUCUAGCAUCAGCAGUUUUAAGAUGCAUGGGACCAGCAUUUUAUUAAAAUGAAUGUUUGAUAAUUUGGCAGAUUAAAAAUUGUACCUCAAUUUGAUUUAAUUUGUAUUCUGAUAAUUACUAGAAAAAUCGAACUCUGGCCCACUUAUAUUUCCUCCUAUGUGAAUUGUCUAUUUAGAUCAUGAAACUAUAUUUCUGUCUGCUAACAGGGGAGAUGUUUUUCCAAGUUUUCCAUUUUCAUUUUAACUUUAUUUUUGACA